rnacentral:lncRNA from 1 species
UAGUCCUCUUUAGCCCAUAAAACAAACUGUUUUAAUUUAAUAGUUUGAUUUAUUUUUAACUAAUUGUAUCACUAAAAUUUUGAGAGUAAGAGCUUGAUUGGUUUUCCCGCUACCACCCGCAAACGUAGCUUUUGCGAUUGGUAGCGGUUGACAGCGUUUCGAAACAAUCAUACAAACCGCUACAAAUCGAUUCAAACCGCUCCGAACUUCUUAAAAUCAAAAGCUGGUUCCAGCUAGCGUUUGCGGUUGCGGGCGGUUGCGGG